rnacentral:rRNA from 1 species
GAUGAACGCUAGCGGCAGGCCUAACACAUGCAAGUCGAGGGGUAGAAGGAGCUUGCUCCUUUGAGACCGGCGCACGGGUGCGUAACGCGUAUGCAAUCUACCUUGUACAGGGGAAUAGCCCAGAGAAAUUUGGAUUAAUGCCCCAUAGUAUAUAACCUUCGCAUGUUGGUUAUAUUAAAGUUCCAACGGUACAAGAUGAGCAUGCGUCCCAUUAGUUAGUUGGUAAGGUAACGGCUUACCAAGACGAUGAUGGGUGGGGGUCCUGAGAGGGAGAUCCCCCAGAGUGUGACAGAGGCCCCAGACAGACACGUGAGGGAGGAAGGGGGGAGGAUGAUUAGUGAACGGAAGCCAGACCGAGCCAGCCAGGCCGCGGGCAGAAAGCCGGCGCUUUGGAUUGUAAACUGCUUUUAAACAGAAAGGAACCCUCCAACGUGUGGGGGCUUGACGGGAAUGUAGAAAUAAAGAACGGCUAACUCCGUG